rnacentral:rRNA from 1 species
AUUGAACGCUGGCGGCAGGCCUUACACAUGCAAGUCGAACGGCAGCGCGGUCUUCGGCCUGGCGGCGAGGUGCGAACGGGUGAGUAAUGCAUCGGAACGUGCGCAGUUGUUGGUUCUAGCGCGGCGAAAGCGGGAUUAAUACCGCAUACGCCCUUACGACGAAAGGGGGGAACCGAGAGGCCUCGCGCCCUUGCAGCGGCCGAUGUCGGAUUAGCUAGUUGGCGGGGUAAAGGCGUACCAAGGCGACGAUCCGUAGCUGGUCUGAGAGGACGACCAGCCACACUGGGACUGAGACACGGCCCAGACUCCUACGGGAGGCAGCAGUGGGGAAUUUUGGACAAUGGGCGCAACCCUGAUCCAGCCAUGCCGCGUGCGUGAAGAAGGCCUUCGGGUUGUAAACCCCUUUUGUUCGGGAAGAAAACCUGUGGGCUAAUACCCCGCUGGGCUGACGGUACCCGAAGAAUAAGCACCGGCUAACUUCGUG